ensembl:lncRNA
GAGAUGCUCUGUGUCCAGCCUGACAGCACUGGAUUCAACAGGUACAGAGUGUUGGAAGAGCCCCAUUUGAAAAUAUAGUUGUGGACUUCACUGAGUGUCCUCCAGUCUGGGACCAGCUGUUGCCAAUUGCUUGGUUAAGUAUUAGAUCUGGCCCUACUAGACACAGAGGGUUCUCCUCUUAUCCUUUAUGGACUCCUGCCUUCCCUUAUCAGAUUAUACAGGGGUUGGGCAACAUUACCCUGAGACAACAAAUGCAGGCUCUUGGCUUAUCCUGGGUUACUAUAUACCAUCCAAGCAGGGAGCUUAACCACAAAUGGAGAUGCUAUGUGGGUAAAAGAAUGGGAUGGCCAAUCCCUAAAGUCCCUUUGGAGGAUCCAUUCACUGCCACUUUAUCCACGGUGUAGUAAUGGUGGGAUCUACAUUCACCACAGCGGAGAGAAACCAGCUUCUGGAGACGAGAAUGAACGGAUGGCUCAUCACAGCACACAGUCAUCUGGAGGAAGAGAACUGUGGGCCAGAGACCACAGAGGACUGCAGCCCCACUUUAGUCAGCCAGGGGCAGACUCAGCUAUGUGACAGCAGCUUGAGGAGAGCCAUCUAUCUGGUGACAUAAAGAAACUGUUUCCUAUAUCGGUUCUCUUACUGUCCUUGUCAUCCCUUGCCCAUGAUCUGUUACUGUGACCCUUGCCCUCAUCUUUGCCAUAGGAUUGGCAGAGACUGCACUCGUCAACUAGAAACAUGGCAAGUGACUUCUCUUCUUUUCCCUCUUGUGGGCACGAUAAUUCACUGCUACUGGUUGUUACCCAUCUGAGCCUUUUUUCUACACUUAAGUCUGUCUCAUGAAAUCUGCAAUACUCCACAUGACCAAGCCAUCAUGAAAACCUUACUUUAUCACACCCGUUUCACUUGCCAAGAAAAGGUCUUAGGGGCCUGCAGACAUAAUAAGACUACUUGUUCCAUCUGCCAACUAGGAGAUCAAUAUACUUGUUUCAACCCACAGUGAUCCCCCAUUAAGAAGUAGAUACAAGUCUGGAAAUGGUCCCGUGUAACCAGACCAACUGAAUCCACAUUCUUGACCCCAAACAGUUAAUAUCCUUAUGCCAUGACAUGUGUGAUACCAUAAGUAAUGCCCGCUCAACUUAGAGUGAACCACAUGUGGGUCUGUAUUGGGAACAAGAGUAUAGGCUUGAGGUUGGGGAUUUAGCUCAGUGGUAGUGCAAGGCCCUGGGUUCGGUCCCCAGAUCCAAAAAAAAAAAAAAAAAAAAAAGUACAGGCUUAAUGGUAAGUACUUGUGUGAAGUUCUAGUUAUGUCUAGAUAUGCCACCCAGGACUGGCGUUUCUUCCCUUAUUGGAGCUGUGGUUCGUUGACCACUUGGAAGGAUAAAGAUAAAGCAGUACUCUUCCAAAGGAUAGUGCCAUUUCUAACUGUAAACCUGGAACCUAUAAUCUUCUUCAAUAUCCUUGUUGUGAGACAGUUUCCUCCAAGUGAAACAUUCCAUCCUACAAGGAAGCUCCUUAAACAGGAAGGUAAACAAUUCAAAAUAACUUCAGAAGUUCCUGAAACUGACCACAUUCACUA